rnacentral:rRNA from 1 species
CCUACGGGAGGCAGCAGUGAGGAAUAUUGGUCAAUGGGCGAGAGCCUGAACCAGCCAAGUCGCGUGAGGGAAGACGGUCCUAUGGAUUGUAAACCUCUUUUGCCGGGGAGCAAAACGCGGUACGUGUACCGCACCGAGAGUACCCUGCGAAAAAGCAUCGGCUAACUCCGUGCCAGCAGCCGCGGUAAUACGGAGGAUGCGAGCGUUAUCCGGAUUUAUUGGGUUUAAAGGGUGCGCAGGCGGCGGGUUAAGUCAGCGGUAAAAUUUCGGGGCUCAACCCCGACAAGCCGUUGAAACUGGCGUGCUAGAGUGGGCGAGAAGUAGGCGGAAUGCGUGGUGUAGCGGUGAAAUGCAUAGAUAUCACGCAGAACUCCGAUUGCGAAGGCAGCAUACCGGCGCCCAACUGACGCUCAGGCACGAAAGCGUGGGUAUCGAACAGGAUUAGAUACCCGUGUAGUC